AAGGGAGACCUAAUUCCGGUAGGAGACGAAAAAAAAGUAGUCCCUACCAGGAAUCAAUCCCAAAAGGUCGGAACGAGGUAUGAGGCUUUCAAACUAGGUUCUGGGUUCAUAAAAGACCUGAAUCAGGAACAAGGGCUAUUAGCUCAGGUGGUUAGAGCGCACCCCUGAUAAGGGUGAGGUCCCUGGUUCGAGUCCAGGAUGGCCCACCUGCACAGGUGGCAAAAACAAGAGAAGCGAGGAAUCAGCACCUUAUCUUAUAUACAUAUAUAAGAGAGAAUGCUGGCUCUGAGUACAGAGUCCAGAGGAACCUUGAAAACUGCAUAGAGCUAGGUGAAAAAGCCAAAAAAGAAGACCGCAAGGUCAAGCUAAUAAGGGCUAACGGUGGAUACCUAGGCAC
rnacentral:tRNA from 1 species